rnacentral:rRNA from 1 species
AUUGAACGCUGGCGGCAUGCUUUACACAUGCAAGUCGAACGGUAACAGGGUGCUUGCACCGCUGACGAGUGGCGAACGGGUGAGUAAUGCGUCGGAACGUGCCGAGUAGUGGGGGAUAACGCAGCGAAAGUUGUGCUAAUUCCGCAUACGUACUGAGGUAGAAAGUGGGGGACCUUCGGGCCUCACGCUAUUCGAGCGGCCGACGUCUGAUUAGCUAGUAGGUGAGGUAAAGGCUCACCUAGGCGACGAUCAGUAGCGGGUCUGAGAGGAUGAUCCGCCACACUGGGACUGAGACGCGGCCCAGACUCCUACGGGAGGCAGCAGUGGGGAAUUUUGGACAAUGGGCGAAAGCCUGAUCCAGCCAUGCCGCGUGUCUGAAGAAGGCCUUCGGGUUGUAAAGGACUUUUGUCAGGGAGGAAAUCCCUAGUGCUAAUAACACUGGGGGAUGACAGUACCUGAAGAAUAAGCACCGGCUAACUACGUGCCAGCAGCCGCCGUAA